rnacentral:rRNA from 1 species
AGCGAACGCUGGCGGCAGGCCUAACACAUGCAGGUCGAACGAACUCUUCGGAGUUAGUGGCGGACGGGUGAGUAACACGUGGGAACGUGCCUUUUGGUUCGGAAUAACUCAGGGAAACUUGUGCUAAUACCGAAUGUGCCCUUCGGGGGAAAGAUUUAUCGCCAUUAGAGCGGCCCGCGUCUGAUUAGCUAGUUGGUGAGGUAACGGCUCACCAAGGCGACGAUCAGUAGCUGGUCUGAGAGGAUGACCAGCCACACUGGGACUGAGACACGGCCCAGACUCCUACGGGAGGCAGCAGUGGGGAAUCUUGCGCAAUGGGCGAAAGCCUGACGCAGCCAUGCCGCGUGAAUGAUGAAGGUCUUAGGAUUGUAAAAUUCUUUCACCGGGGACGAUAAUGACGGUACCCGGAGAAGAAGCCCCGGCUAACUUCGUG